ACCCCGCACAAGCGGUGGAUCAUGUUGUUUAAUUCGAUGAUACGCGAAGAACCUUACCAGGUCUUGACAUCCCCCGCGAUGCUUUAGAGAUAAAGCGGAGGUAUUCGGGGAGACAGGUGGUGCAUGGUUGUCGUCAGCUCGUGUCGUGAGAUGUGGGUUAAGUCCCGCAACGAGCGCAACCCCUAUUGCUAGUUACCAUCAUUAAGUUGGGGACUCUAGCGAGACUGCCAGUGAUAAACUGGAGGAAGGUGGGGAUGACGUCAAAUCAUCAUGCCCCUUAUGACCUGGGCUACAAACGUGAUACAAUGGCUGGAACAAAGGGAUGCGAAGCAGUGAUGUGGAGCGAAACCCAUAAAAACAGUCUCAGUUCGGAUUGAAGUCUGCAACUCGACUUCAUGAAGUCGGAAUCGCUAGUAAUCGCGGAUCAGAACGCCGCGGUGAAUACGUUCUCGGGGUUU
rnacentral:rRNA from 1 species